UUUUUUCGGCUGGCCUAAACUUUUUUCGCCAAUUUUGAAGAUUUUCAGUAAUUUUUUUUUGUUUUUAUGUUCAAAUAAUUAUAGAAAUUCAAUUUUAAUGCUUGUUUUGAUCAUUCGUCGUCUCUUUCUCUC
ensembl:ncRNA B0250.15 ncRNA